UUGCUCGCUUCAGUAGCACAUAUACUAAAAUGGUAAUGAUACAGAGAAGAUUAGUAUGGCCCCUUAAAAAAAAUCACCUUAGGGCUUGUUAAAACACACAUUCCU
ensembl:snRNA U6 U6 spliceosomal RNA